rnacentral:rRNA from 1 species
CCCUAUGGGGUGCCGGUGGAGCCGCUGGACAUAUGCAUCUCCACGAUCUGAUCGCGGGGAACGCAGGCCAUAUUCAGGGGGUAGCUCUCCCUGAGGAUGUCCUUGCCGGUGAAGGGCAGUCGGACCACGUCCUCUGCCGUCCUGAUAUCCUCAGGCCGGACGCCUUUCUCGUCGAAUAGACGCCGGUAGAUCGGAUUGGAUUCAUAGACGUGACCGACGAUGGCCCUCAGCCGCUCGGACUGAAUCUGGGUGAUUCUCUCUCGAGAGC